AAAUGUGGUUUGUUUACAGGAAAGUGAAACCAGCAAUAAGUACAGUUUCUCAUUGUGGCGGAGCCCGGUCUGUGGCGUGGCUGCGGGGGAGGCUGAUGUCUUCCCUUGUGUUGCUGUAGAAGACCUGCCCAUCACUCAAGCUGUCGUCCAAACCUAUUGACAAAUUAUGUAAAAGGCUGAGGAACGAGUGAACUUUGGUUCCGAACAGUUGAGUGAAUACUUGAGCCUUAUGGACCCGUUGAUCACACUGAUGAAGAAAUCCGUGAAAGCUUUACCUGAUGGCUUUCCUCUAGUUACACUUUUCUAGUGAGGAAAGUGAAAUGAAACUGGGAAAAGCAAGCUGAAUUUUAAAUUCCAUGUCAGUCAUUUUAUUUUUCUUAAAUAAUGCAUCUUUUGUAUCUGUGGUUAGUUUUCAUUUCAUAUAGUACAGCUUUGCUUAACUUUAGUUUCACUACUACUGUUACUCUUUCUUUUCUUCAGAAACAUGAUAACAGAUUAAUGACCUGCUCACAUUCGUGUGAACUACAACUAUGCCUUCAAUAGAAAAUGUCUUAUUUA